rnacentral:rRNA from 1 species
UGAACCUGCGAGAGGAUCUUAU